rnacentral:rRNA from 1 species
UACGAAGGGGGCUAGCGUUGCUCGGAAUCACUGGGCGUAAAGCGCACGUAGGCGGCUUCUAAGUCAGGGUGAAUCCUGGAGCUCAACUCCAGAACUGCCUUUGAUACUGGAGAGCUUGAGUCCGGGAGAGGUGAGUGGAACUGCGAGUGUAGAGGUGAAAUUCGUAGAUAUUCGGAGGAACACCAGUGGCGAAGGCGGCAUCCUGGACCGGUAUUGACGCUGAGGCGCGAAAGCCAGGGAGCAAACGGG